GAGGGUGGUAAGUGUAUUUCACAGCAAUGGGCUCUUUUUCGUCCGGCCUGGUGAAAUCUAGGGCCAUCCGCGCUUCUUCCGAGGCUCGGCCAGAGAAUGCCAAGGGGGAGAGGCAGGACAAAAGUUGAGGCGAAUCCAGAGGCAUGCCGGUGGGUCUCAAGUUAUCUGAUGCGGAGAUAAUGUCGGAGCUAUUGGUAGAGUAGGUAUGUGACCUCAGGAUUUAAUGAGAAUUUAAUACCAAGAUAAGUCGGUUUUUAAUUCAACGAGCUCUUUCCUGCAAGAUCCUUUGCCGCAAUGGAGAUUAAGAAGGAGAUAAGCCGCAAGAAUGAGUCCAGCAUUUCCAAGCAAAGUUGUUCUUUCUCCCUUGUUACUUAAUCCAGAUUCUGGCUGAAAAGAUUCAUCUCAAGGAAUUGUAUUCUUGAAGAUGUCGGGAAAAGAUUCCUGGGUCUUGGAAGAGAAUUACUAAAACUGCAGGGGAGGAAUAAAAUUGAAGGGUGUUUUUCUUAGAGAACACCAUGUGUGAGAUUUAUCAAGAAUUUGAAGAUUUAUAUAAGAUACGGGUCCUUUGCGCCAUUUCAACAUGCGUGAAUCUUUUCACACGGUAGUUAAACAGCACCUGACCCACAGCAGCACAGCGGAACUUUUAAUUGUCACAAUAUUAACUGUGUAUUAUUGCAUAAACUUGGCUACGGCUCUUUAUUCCAGAAUCAUUAUGCAAAGAAAAGGUGUGCAUCAAGAAUGGUAUCAGUUACAUCACUUCUUUCAAAGUCUUGGUCAUGGAACAUCUGUUAGUCACACAGAUAGCAAAGCAUGUAACUGUGUUGCCUCCUUGCCUCCCAGUGAUAAGCCCAUGAAACAUUUUACAAAAGUGGAUAAUCAGAAGAGGGAAUUGGUCAUAUAUAUGACUGAACUACAAAGAAAUGAAAAAUGAUUAACACUGCAGGUAAAAUUAGUGUUAGAAGCUUUGAUGAUACCACGACCAACAUGAAGCUACAGUACAAGCCACAUUUUUUAAGAGUCUGAUGAAUAUAAAAGCAAGGUAAAGUUGGUUCAACAUCUUUUAGUGUAAAAUUUCACCAAGAACAGAAAGCUGCUUAUGGUUGAAAUGAAGCAUUUACUUCUCCUUUGUAGUGUAAUCAAGAACAAAUACCAGUUUGGCAUUGAAGUCAGUUGCUACAUUGAAGGAAAUGGUAAUUACAAGGACAUCUGUUUACUGCCAGUAAAGGCUGGUUUCAUCUCAAAGUCAACACAAACUAAUGUUAAACUACCUAGAGAAGCUACAAACUCAGAUAAGGAUGUUACUGUGAAAUGUGCGCUCAGAUUCCAAGAACUACAGGCAGUCCUUGCAGUAGUGAGAGGCUGUACUGUGGAAAAACUGCAACAUUCGGAUGGGAUGUAAAUGGAGUUAGAAGAUAGAGAUGACCGUGAGAGUGUUGACGCUGCUGCCAUUCAAGAAACAGUUCUAGGUAUGUAGGAGGCAGAACACCGGUGAAGUUUUAUGUAGGAAAGCAGUUGUAAACAAUGUGUCUCAAAAGAAGUGAUGUUGUUGAACAACUUAACAUUGAAGGAACUUGCAGAACUAUCAUGACGUUGACUGUUAAAAGAUAAAAUUUUGGAAGCUGAUUCAAACUUGGAAAUGAGUAUGACAGUUUGCCAAGGCAUAGAUAAGAUGCCUUGGCAUCUCACUCCAUAUUAUAAGUUUUAUAAUGAGAAAGCAAGCACAUUUCAAAACUACUUGAUACAUUUUUUUUAAUAAAGAAAGAAAACGUAA